GAGAGACACUGGUCACCAGGUACAUAGUAUAAAUGGAUAUUUUGGCUUCAAAAAAAUAAUGACCAGGUUAUCGAGUCCACCCUACAAUCCAGAUGUCUUUCUUAAAAAAAUUUUUUUAAUAAUAAUAUAAGCAAUUUUUCUGGCUGUAUCCUGGCAUUUGGCACUUUACAAUAACAAUAUACAAAGGGGACAACAAGAGAUUCUUAACCAGGCAAUCUGCUCUGGAAAGAAGAAUGCAGAGAAAGUGCCAACCUUCCUUCCUGGGGAGACAAUUUGAUAGUGUAUACUGGAAACACAAAAUAAAGGAUGGCAAUCCAGCUCCCUGGGUCUGACUUGCCUUCAGUAUUUUGCACAGUAAAGCAGUAACACAGGUGGGCAAGAAUGGUUCUUGUCCCCAGAAUCUGACAAUAAUUGAAACUAGGAUCAUUAAUAAAUGAAAGAAAAUGAGUGAAGGCUUAUCCACCUAGUUCAGGCCUGCUUUUCAUAGUCAACACUGCACCAACACACCAAAGUGGUAGGGAGAUCUUGGACUGAUGGGCUGAAAAAUGGGACAAUCAGUACUGUGUUUAUUAAUAACACAGAAGGGGCUUUGGGUAGUCAGCAUACUCAGAAGCAAUGCGAAAGGAAGUAGAGGGGUUCAUGUAUAAUGGGUGGGACCAAGGAAAGUGCAACUGAGAAUUGUUUAAGUCCAAGAGAAAGGGCCUUGUCCGGUCAACAUUACCCAGCAAAGAGGCAAAAGGGGCAGGGCAGAGGGAAGGGAAGAGGGAGACAGCACAAUCUUACCUAAUAGCUGCAUAUAUGGACACCUGAGAUUGUGAGCAAUAGUCUGUAAAAAGGGGCCAAGGGCACACAAGGGGCAGAGAGAGGGAAGACUUCGUAUAUAAAGCAUGACACCAUGGCUACCUGUGAUUUUACACACUGGCGCAAUGCAAAAGGGUGGGAGUAUGGACCACUGUUUGAUAGAAAAGUGCAUGGAAUACUCCAAUGCUUAUACUUUAUUAUGCCAUGGGAAACUAAGGGUGGGGUGGGGCGCUUGCUUAACAAGGUCAGGGAGGGAGAAAACCAUUGAUAACUGCCAUUGUGCCUAUUAACAGUCCCAGGAGAAGUUUUGAGUAGUCAGCAGCCCCUGCAGUAAUGCAAAGGGGAUACUAGGGCAUAAUAUCCCACUCUAACAGAAGGAGACAUAUAUAAUUGCAAAUAUUCACAUUAACAGUACAAGGGGCCUUAGUGGGUCAGUACCCCCGAUGUAAGCAACGAGGAGGCAGGAGUCUUAUCUAAUGAUCAGUGCCCUUGAUAAUUGUUAUUAAUGCUAUUAAUUGUCCAAGAGCUGAGAUUAUGAGUAGUUAACACUUCUCAGCAGCAAUCCAAAGGGUAAUGGGAGGAACAUAGGGUCUUUUUCUCCUACACAGGUCCACAAAUACAAUUAUGACAUUAAUAUUAAAAGAAAAGGGUUCAUUCAUAAUUAACAUGCCCCUGAUGCAAGGGGAGUAUGUGGAGAUCAACUCUUAGUCUAAAAGAAGAGGUGGACAAUUGCAUUAAUGCAUAUUAAGUCCAAAAGAAGGGGCACUUAGUGAAUAUCAUCCCCCUGCUCUAAAGCAAAGGUGGUACAGGAACAUGCUUAGAGAAUUGAGUUUGUGCACAUGAACAUUCCAAGUGACAGUCUUGAGUAGUGGCCACUACCUGCUAAAAACGCUAAGAAAGUAGGUAGGAUCCUUAUCUAGUGCACAGAUCAGGAGCAAAUGUAAUUGCACAUAUUAACAGUCCAAAACAACAGGACUUUGGUUGAUCAGGACACCCUGCUGUACUACAAAGGAAAGGUGAUGGGGUAUGACCUUAAUCUACUGACAAAGACAAAAGAAAAUUUCAAUUAUAUGUUGAUAGUCCACCAGAAGGGGCCUUGGAGGGAAACAGUAUACCCCACAGUAAUGCAAAAGAGGUAUAAUGGUCCUAGAAGUGAUAGGGUUGUAGACAACUGCAAUUAUUCACAUUAACUGUUCAAAUGUAAAGAUCAUAAGGAGUGGGCACCCACUAUUGAAAAGAGGUGGGGCAUCCUUGUCUAGGGCACAAGAACCCACAUAAAUGCAAUUAUGCAUGUCAACAAGCCAAGAAAAGGGGACUUAGGGGGUCAGCAACCCUGGUAUACUGCAAAUGGAGGGUGAGAGGGUAGAACCUUGUUUAAUUAGGAUGAACCAUGUGGUGAUUACGUACAUUAAUGUCCAAGGGACAUUGUUGUGGUCAAUUAAAACCAUGUACUUUGGACAAAUAUAAGAAUCUUAAAAAGUAGUGGGUACUCCUUGUUGAAAAGCAAAGGGAGUCCAUGAGAAGGUGCCCUUAUCUAGUACACAAGAAUAUAGACAAGCCAAGCAAAGAGGCCUCAGUGAUCAGCACCCCAGCUAUACUGCAAAGGGGGUCUGAGAGUAGGACUUUAUUCAAAUAGGAUAAGCCAUGUGCAGUUAUGCACAUAAUUUCCAAGAUGCAUGGUUGUGGUCACUUUACAAUUGUGCACCUUGAUUGUCCAAAUGUAAGGGUCUUAUGGAGUGAGCACUCCCUGCUGGGAGGAAAAGAAAGAUUAUGCGUAGAUGGGAUGGGGCAGAGGAGGCUUCCUUGUCUAGUACACAGAAACCUGGACAAAUAUAAUCACACACAUAACAGGCCAGGAAAAUGGGCCUUGGUUAUCAGCACCCCUGCUGUACUGCAAAAGGGGUCUGAGAGUAAGGCCUUAUUCAGAUGAGAUAGGCCGUGUGCAGUUACACACAUUAUUGACCAAGGUGCAUGGCUGCGGUCACUUAGAAUUGUGCACCUUGACUGUCCAAAUGUAAGGUUCUUAUGGAGCUGGCACUCCCUGCCAGAAGGGAAAGGAAGAUUGAGGGUGGGGUGGGGCAGGGGAGGCUUCCAUGUCUAAUACACAGGAACCGGGACAAAUAUAAUCACACGCAUACCAGGCCAGGAAAAGGGGCCUUGGUGAUCAGCACCCCUGCUGUACUGCAAAAGGGGUCUGAGACUAGGAUUUUAUUCAGAUAGGUUGAGCUGUGUGUAGUUAUGCAAAUCCAUGUCUAAGGUGCAUGGUUGUGUUCACUUAAGAAUUACGCACCUUGACUGUCCAAAUGUGAGAGUCUUAUGGAGUGGGCACUCCCUGCUGGAAGGGAAAGGUGAGACUGAGGUAUGUGGAGAGGACCCUCCUUUUCUAGUGCAUAGGAUCCCAGACAAUUAUACUCCCC
rnacentral:lncRNA from 1 species